GAUGAACGCUGGCGGCGUGCCUAAUACAUGCAAGUCGAGCGAACAGACGAGGAGCUUGCUCCUCUGACGUUAGCGGCGGACGGGUGAGUAACACGUGGAUAACCUACCUAUAAGACUGGGAUAACUUCGGGAAACCGGAGCUAAUACCGGAUAAUAUAUUGAACCGCAUGGUUCAAUAGUGAAAGACGGUUUUGCUGUCACUUAUAGAUGGAUCCGCGCCGCAUUAGCUAGUUGGUAAGGUAACGGCUUACCAAGGCAACGAUGCGUAGCCGACCUGAGAGGGUGAUCGGCCCCACUGGAACUGAGACACGGUCCAGACUCCUGCGGGAGGCAGCAGUGGGAAAUCUUCCGCAAUGGGCGAAAGCCUGACGGAGCAACGCCGCGUGAGUGAUGAAGGUCUUCGGAUCGUAAAACUCUGUUAUUAGGAAAGAACAAAUGUGUAAGUAACUAUGCACGUCUUGCCGGUACCUAAUCAGAAAGCCACGGCUAACUACGU
rnacentral:rRNA from 1 species